rnacentral:rRNA from 1 species
CCUACGGGUCGCACCAGUGGGGAGUAUUGCACAAUGGCGCAAGCCUGAUGCAGCCAUGCCGCGUGUGUGAAGAAGGCCUUCGGGUUGCAAAGCACUUUCAGCGGGGAGGAAGGCAGUGAGGUUAAUAACCUCAUCGAUUGACGUUACCCGCAGAAGAAGCACCGGCUAACUCCGUGCCAGCAGCCGCGGUAAUACGGAGGGUGCAAGCGUUAAUCGGAAUUACUGGGCGUAAAGCGCACGCAGGCGGUCUAUCAAGUCGGAUGUGAAAUCCCCGGGCUCAACCUGGGAACUGCAUUCGAAACUGGCAGGCUAGAGUCUUGUAGAGGGGGGUAGAAUUCCAGGUGUAGCGGUGAAAUGCGUAGAGAUCUGGAGGAAUACCGGUGGCGAAAGCGGCCCCCUGGACAAAGACUGACGCUCAGGUGCGAAAGCGUGGGGAGCAAACAGGAUUAGAUACCCUGUAGUC